AAGGAGUCUAACAUAUAUGCGAGUGUGUGGGUAGAAAAUCCAUAUGCGAAAUGAAAGUGAUCAUAGCGAGGGCGCCUUCGAGUGUAUUCAGCUGUGGCCGAUCUUGAUCCUCGGUGACGGGUUUGAGUAUGAGCAUAGCUGUUAGGACCCGAAAGAUGGUGAACUAUGCCGGUGUAGGGUGAAGCCAGGGGAAACUCUGGUGGAGGCUCGUAGCGGUACUGACGUGCAAAUCGUUCGUCAAAUUUGGGUAUAGGGGCGAAAGACUAAUCGAACCAUCUAGUAGCUGGUUCCUGC
rnacentral:misc_RNA from 1 species